rnacentral:rRNA from 1 species
GAUGAACGCUAGCGGCAGGCUUAACACAUGCAAGUCGAGGGGUAUAGGUUUUCGGACCUAGAGACCGGCGCACGGGUGCGUAACGCGUAUGCAAUCUACCUUUUACAGAGGGAUAGCCCAGAGAAAUUUGGAUUAAUACCUCAUAGUAUAGUACAACCGCAUGGUUGAACUAUUAAAGUCACAACGGUAAAAGAUGAGCAUGCGUCCCAUUAGCUUGUUGGUAAGGUAACGGCUUACCAAGGCGACGAUGGGUAGGGGUCCUGAGAGGGAGAUCCCCCACACUGGUACUGAGACACGGACCAGACUCCUACGGGAGGCAGCAGUGAGGAAUAUUGGUCAAUGGGCGCAAGCCUGAACCAGCCAUGCCGCGUGCAGGAUGACGGUCCUAUGGAUUGUAAACUGCUUUUGUACAGGAAGAAACAGUUCUACGUGUAGAACCUUGACGGUACUGUAAGAAUAAGGAUCGGCUAACUCCGUGCCAGCAGCCGCCGCAGUAA